GGAGUUGUGGCUCAGCAGUAGAGCACUCGCCUAGCAAGUGUGAGACCCUGGGUUCAAUCCUCAGCACCA
rnacentral:tRNA from 1 species